rfam:Hordeum vulgare subsp. vulgare, WGS project CAJW01000000 data, contig: morex_contig_1573269
CAACUACUCCCUUUGUCUUAAAAUUCUUGUCUUAAAUUUAUCUAGAAAUGGAUGUAUCUAAAUACUAAAACAUGACUAUAUACAUUCAUAUCUAAACAAAUUUAAAACAAGAAUUUUGGACGGAGGAAAUACAAG